UGAGCCAAAGGUCGGCCAAGGUAUGC
rnacentral:piRNA from 1 species